GACGAACGCUGGCGGCGUGCCUAAUACAUGCAAGUCGAGCGAAGUUUUUCUGGUGCUUGCACUAGAAAAACUUAGCGGCGAACGGGUGAGUAACACGUAAAGAACCUGCCUCAUAGACUGGGACAACUAUUGGAAACGAUAGCUAAUACCGGAUAACAGCAUUAACUGCAUGGUUGAUGUUUGAAAGUUGGUUAUGCUAACACUAUGAGAUGGCUUUGCGGUGCAUUAGCUGGUUGGUGGGGUAAAGGCCCACCAAGGCGACGAUGCAUAGCCGACCUGAGAGGGUGAUCGGCCACACUGGGACUGAGACACGGCCCAGACUCCUACGGGAGGCAGCAGUAGGGAAUCUUCCGCAAUGGGCGAAAGCCUGACGGAGCAACGCCGCGUGAGUGAAGAAGGAUUUCGGUUCGUAAAGCUCUGUUGUUAGGGAAGAAUGGAUAUGUAGUAACUAUACAUGUACGAGACGGUACCUAACCAGAAAGCCACGGCUAACUACGUGCCAGCAGCCGCGGUAAUACGUAGGUGGCAAGCGUUGUCCGGAAUUAUUGGGCGUAAAGCGCGCGCAGGUGGUUUAAUAAGUCUGAUGUGAAAGCCCACGGCUCAACCGUGGAGGGUCAUUGGAAACUGUUAAACUUGAGUGCAGGAGAGAAAAGUGGAAUUCCUAGUGUAGCGGUGAAAUGCGUAGAGAUUAGGAGGAACACCGGUGGCGAAGGCGGCUUUUUGGCCUGUAACUGACACUGAGGCGCGAAAGCGUGGGGAGCAAACAGG
rnacentral:rRNA from 1 species